AUGUGGCUCCGGUUGGUGCUCAGCCCAGGGCACGCCCGUUCGGGACUGCGGAGACGCCGGGAGCCCCGCCUGCUCGCCCAACCCAGCGGGGUCUGGUCCCAAGGGGUCUCGCCGCCCGCCUUCUAUCUCCGCCUCCUGCCCUCGGGCUGGGGUGCCGAUAGCCGAGGUGCGCCCGGACGCCCUGCCACCCCAGCGCCCUCUGAGCCCGGAGCUAGCCGAGGAGACUCGCCGCCUCGAGUUCUGUCCUUUUUUCUGGUGUCGCGGCCUGUCCCUCUCCACAAAGCUCCCUUCGCCAGCUGCAUGACAAUCCCCCUCGCGCUGAAGACCUUGGGCGAAGAAGUAACCAACCGUCGGUCCUCCUCUCCUUUCCCAACGGAAAGAAUGACUCGCACCUCAUGUGAUCACGCGGGUACUUGGCGACCCGGAGAUCUCUGCAAACUGCAGGCCCAGUGAGAUGCCCAUUGCACGCCCUGCACCCUCGCCCGCCCGACGCCCUCCGGGUGCCCGCCCCAGCCGCUUCCUCCUCCAGGGCCACGUGCUGGGGAAGCCAAAGCGGGAGUCUUUCGAUCUUGGCCCAGCCCUUAGCCCUCGGUUCUUUGCUCUAGAAUCUAGAUUCGCGUGGGUCGACAAAGGCACUGAAAACCCAACGAACUUCCCGACGUUUUUCAAAAAACCGUAUGCGCGUGCUUUUGUGCAUUUUUUCUCCGAUCGAGGCAGGGCCCCUUAGGGUUCGGUUUGGACGGAAGGCCAGGGUGGUUCUGCCCCAGCUUCGGGCGUGGAGGAUCCAGUAGGAGAUGCAAAAGAGCAAGAAGCAGGGACUGUUAAAUGAAAGGAGAUCCUGUCUUAGGAAUCGACCCAGCUCUUUAAAAGAACGAGAUAAACAUAGGGUCGUUAAAUAUCCUGGAAAGUAGCCUAGGCAUUCAGUGAAAAACGCAAAGCGCACGUGGAUUCUUUGUGUAAAAAUAUAAAUGGGACAGGGGUUUAAUCGUCAGGUUUUUUUCUGCACGAAAGAUGUCCGCCCAGAGGGCUGGAGAUUUUUCUUUUAAUUGUCUUUUGGGACUAUUCGAAGCCGAAGUGUGUUGUUGACCAUAUUCUUGCAUUGAAUUUUCAAUUAAAAAAGAAACUGCAGGAAUUGGCGGGUGUUGUUUGUUUUCUGGGGUUGGUUGGUUGAAGAGAGGGUCUCGCUCUGUCGCCCAGAUUGGAGUGCAAUGGCGCGAUCUCGGCUCACUGCAACCUUUGCCUCCCAGCUUCAAGCAAUCCUCCUGCCUCAGUCUCCCGAAUAGCUAGAACUACAGGCGCGUUCCAACACACCCAGCUAUUUUUUUUUUUUUAAAGAUGGGGUUUCACCAUGAUGGCCAGGCUGGUCUUGAACUUCUAACCUCAGGUGAUCCACCCACCUCAGCCUCUCAAAGUGCUAGGAUUACAGGCGUGAGCCACUGCACCCGGCCUUUUU
rnacentral:lncRNA from 13 species